UGAUUUUCCAAGCGCCCUCGUGGCCCUGGCGGCACUGAAAGCCCCACAGGCAGUGGGGGAAGCUGGAGGGUUCUUGGCCAAAGGGCUUUGCUUGGUGCCCAAAGGUGCCCUUGCUCCUAGUGCUGCUGCAGGAGGAUGAACUUUGGGAAUUCCUGCAGCAAAGGGAGCUGGGCUGCAGUCAGAAGGAGAAAUGCUGCGGGGCUGCUACUCCAGAGAUGGUUUGGGGUGAGAAGAUGCAUCACAGACUCGCUGCCUUUGCUGGGGACUGGGCUCAGUGGGAGGCAGAGGAGAACCAAGGGUGAGCUGAUCUCACCACAUCUCAGCUGAUGAACAGAGAGGUUUUUACUACACCUUGAACUGCAAAUUUGGGUACAUUUAUGAGCGAGUCACAUUUGCAGUUUGCCGGCCCUGAGUUAAUGCCACUUGUGAAUGAAAGCCAAUAAUGACAAUCUGAUUGAUGAACACAUAAAUCAGCUCUGCUGUGAUAAAUAGAGCCCAUUUUCUACAUUCAGUGGUUCCUGUCACCACUUAUGACAAAGACAAAAUUUAAUCAGAUGUGGGUAAAAGACUAACUCAGUCUAUACUCGAGUAAAUUUCCUAAAGAAUGGGAAUCUCCAUCCCGGAAAAUCUUGGACAGCAGGAAUCAUCUGGACUCAUCCUGUGCACAAACAAAGCCUCUGUGUUAGUAUUUCACACUAAACAAAAAGAACCAUCUAAACCAUCAAAAUGCACCUUCUCCUGCCCUUUCCAAGAGCACCUCCAUGAUCAUCCAGGCUGCAGGUUCCAGUUCACAGUUCUCAGCCCCUUGAAGCUUUAUUCUCUCCCUUGGGAAAUGCUGCCUUGAGAGUCCCCUUGGAUCUGCUCAAGGGAUUUGGGACUAAAGCUCUACCUAAUGGAUGCAAAGAUGGCAGAAUGAGAUACGUUGUCUCCUCAGACACAUCCUCUGAAAAAGGCUCUAGUGAAGAAUAUAAGUGAACACAAGCAAAUUUUCAGUGGCCAUGUCAGACAAAGACAGAGGACAACUGGCUUGAAAAGCCCUUUAGAUUAGAAGUACAUCAAACUUUCGCGAUGGAAUUGCAAAACGUGCCCUGGAGACUUCCAUCCUCUCCCAGCUCUGCUCAGCAGCUCCACACGUGUCCAACCACAGACCUGCCCUGCGCUCCAGCUCAAGCUAAAAAUGAGAUGGGACCAUGUAGAAAAGAACUUCACACCAGAGGCUACAGACAUGUUCAAACUAUGCCACUGAAAUCUAAAUGCAGAUUUUGUUCAGAGAUUCAAAUGCUCUCCCUAAAUUCAUAACCCCCUGGAAAUGAGCAAAAUGAGAAGGUUCAAUUGAAUUUUCUGUUUAUCAUUUGAAGCUUCAAGCUGGAAGUAGCAUCAAAAGGCUCUGACAGCCCCUGAAAAGAAAAGAACGGAAUAAGGAUAAGUUGCAAGUGGCGCAGGGCAGGAGCGGACACCACGAAACCACCAAGAACAACGGGGUUGGGGUGUUUGACAACAGACACACUGCAGCUGCAGCCUCCAGGGCUGGAGCCCAAAGCAGCUUCCUCCACACCCUUGUCCUCCAGAAAUGCCAGCAGGAAAUACAAGCUCACAGCAAAGCUCGGCAGGGAGUAGCUCUGUGAGGAAGCUUCCCUGUGAUGCCAGUCAACAAGUUUAUCAAAUUUCAGGUGACAAAGUCACCACUACACUCUAUCUGCGUCAGCAAGAAAGAUGGACAGGAACGUGAAGUCUCAGAGAGCAUCUGCUACAUGGGAACAGGAGAGCUGGCUCUCUGCAGCACCCUGCCGAGGUCUCAGCCCUCUGAAGCUGUGCCAGUGCCUUGACCCAGACACCAGCCUUCCCAGUGAGGCUAGUCCUAAGGAACUGAUUGAUUGUGACUUCUGAAGGGCCACACAGAGCCACCCACAGCUUUUAUGGUGCCUACAUCAUUGCUCCUUACCAGCAGCCUCCUUAUGGGAAAAACCCCCUACAUCCAGCUUUGCAGAGAUGUGGAGAGGUGCCCUGCAUGAAGUGCUUCAUUCCCUUCUCCAUCACCGAGUCUCAUCACAAACAGCUGUAAAAAUGCUCUACCAAGCAACAUGUCUAAUAAACUUUCAUUACAAAAGCCA